UACGUAGGGGGCAAGCGUUGUCCGGAAUCAUUGGGCGUAAAGAGCGUGUAGGCGGUUCGGUAAGUCGGCUGUGAAAGUCCAGGGCUCAACCCCUGGGAUGCCGGUCGAUACUGCCGGACUAGAGUUCGGAAGAGGCGAGUGGAAUUCCCGGUGUAGCGGUGAAAUGCGUAGAUAUCAAGAGGAACACCUGAGGUGAAGACGGGUUGCUGGGCCAACACUGACGCUGAGGCGCGAAAGCCAGGGGAGCAAACGGG
rnacentral:rRNA from 1 species